GGCAGAGCCGGGAUUCGAACCCGUGACCUCUGACUCCCAAGCCCGGGCUCUUUCCACUGAGCCACGUUGCUUCCAGUGUGAGGGGCAGACCAUCCUACACCCCUGAUAAUCCCUUCUCGGUCCCUGAAUCUCCCCACAGUGACCCAGCCUGGACCAUCAUACACCCCGACUCUCCCCUCUCCAUCCCUGUCUCUCCCCAGUGACCCCGCAUGGACCAUCUGUCACCCCUGCCUCUCGUUCACUCAUUCAUUCAAUAGUAUUUAUUGAGCGCUUACUACGUGCAGAGCACUGUACUAAGCGCUUGGUCCUAAACACUCUCCCCUCACCAUCACUGACUGUCCUUUUUCUGUAGUAGAGCCCCAUGGCUGGUGUCACUCAGUCCCCUGGGGCUGAGUUCCAGUAUCUAGGAGAUGUUGAUUUUGGGGGGGAUAGCCUGAAUGCUGACUCCCACGGCGGCUGCCAGUCCCCCAGUCCUAAAACAACUGACCAGCGUGAUCCAUUUCCCCUGUGACAUCUGGGCUGAUUUCUGGGCAGGAAAACAAGAAGAAAAAGCUGUUCGUAGUUGGAGCCGAAACCCUUCCACAGCUCCACAGUCUAUCAAAUGUUAAACCUCCUGGCACCGAGUCAAGCGGCACAAAGACGGUAGAGUGAAGUCAAGCAGCGGAAUGAACUCAGCCGGCAGAGUGAACUCGGGCAACCGAACCAACGCGGGCUACAGAUUGAAGUCGGGCAGCGGAACGGACUCAGCCGGCAGAGUGAAAUCAGGCAGCAGAGUGAAUUCACUCACGUGGCAGAGUGAAGUCCUGCGGCAGAAUAAGUUUCAGAACUUAAGCUGUGGGAUGACUGCGGCUAUAGUAAGUGCUGGAUUCUCAGCCGCCCUGCCUGGGCGGUGAGAGGCCUGGAACGGUAGCCCCUGGGGUACUUAUUCUUGUCCCUGUCUCUUUAAGUCGUUUUUCUGUUUAUCUUGCCUUUCCUUAUGUGUCCAUCACCAUCUCUAACCCUGCUUAUUCUCAGAAGCACAGGGCACCUGUCUAGUUCUCAUCUGUAUACUUUUUCUCAGUGCUUAGUACAAUUCUCUGUAGACGAUAAGUACUUAAUAAAUAGCGCUAUUACCACUAC